rnacentral:rRNA from 1 species
CCUACGGGAGGCAGCAGUGAGGAAUAUUGGUCAAUGGACGAGAGUCUGAACCAGCCAAGUAGCGUGAAGGAUGACUGCCCUCUGGGUUGUAAACUUCUUUUAUAUGGGAAUAAAAUGUUCCACGUGUGGGACUUUGUAUGUACCAUAUGUAUAAGGAUCGGCUAACUCCGCGCCAGCAGCCGCGGUAAUACGGAGGAUCCGAGCGUUAUCCGGAUUUAUUGGGUUUAAAGGGAGCGUAGGUGGAUUGUUAAGUCAGUUGUGAAAGUUUGCGGCUCAACCGUAAAAUUGCAGUUGAAACUGGCAGUCUUGAGUACAGUAGAGGUGGGCGGAAUUCGUGGUGUAGCGGUGAAAUGCUUAGAUAUCACGAAGAACUCCGAUUGCGAAGGCAGCUCACUGGACUGUAACUGACGCUGAGGCUCGAAAGUGUGGGUAUCAAACAGGAUUAGAUACCCUUGUAGUC